UACUUUGAGAGAGAGUAACAGUGCGUGAAACCGCUCAGAGGUAAACGGGUGGAGUUGAACUGCAAGCUCUGUGGAUUCAGCUGGUGAGAUUGGCAUGAGCUUGGUCAUGUGGGUUGUAUGUUUGGGUCUGCUUAGCUGCAGGUCCUCGCCUUUGGUGGGGAUGCGCGUAUCACUUGUCAAGUGUUGUGCGCCCGGACGUUGUCGAACCUGCUCGCCAGUGCAUUUUCACAGAGUGUUCACCACGACCGGCGUUGUCGUCUGGCUGUUGCGGUUAAACCGGCUUAGUAGGGUCCUUGUGGCCUUGCUGGGUCGGGAUGGCAGGUAGCCUGUUGUGCAUUUAUGUGCUUCAGGUGUAAUAGCUGACUGCAUCGGUUCUGUGCGGUACGUCGGAGACGGCGGCUUGUUGCGCUUGCGUGCGUGCCUGUUGCGCUGGCGGCUCUGGGUCUGAUUGCCUUGUUGCUUGUAAAUGCAAGCCAGGUGGUGGCUCGGGGUCGUUCGGUGUGCGGUUGCGUGCGUGGUGCUUUGAAAGGGCCCACAGUCUGUGGUGUAGUGGUAGACUAUCCACCCGACCCGUCUUGAAACACGGAC
rnacentral:rRNA from 1 species